AUUGAACGCUGGCGGCAGGCCUAACACAUGCAAGUCGAGCGGGGUUUUCGGACCUAGCGGCGGACGGGUGAGUAAUGCGUAGGAAGCUACCCGAUAGAGGGGGAUACCAGUUGGAAACGACUGUUAAUACCGCAUAAUGUCUACGGACCAAAGUGUGGGACCUUCGGGCCACAUGCUAUCGGAUGCGCCUACGUGGGAUUAGCUAGUUGGUGGGGUAAUGGCUCACCAAGGCGACGAUCCCUAGCUGGUUUGAGAGGAUGAUCAGCCACACUGGAACUGAGACACGGUACAGACUCCUACGGGAGGCAGCAGUGGGGAAUAUUGGACAAUGGGCGCAAGACUGAUCCAGCCAUGCCGCGUGUGUGAAGAAGGCCUUCGGGUUGUAAAGCACUUUCAGUAGGGAGGAAGGGUGUUGUGUUAAUAGCACAGCAUUUUGACGUUACCUACAGAAGAAGCACCGGCUAACUCUGUGCCAGCCGCCGCAGUAAAAC
rnacentral:rRNA from 1 species